rnacentral:rRNA from 1 species
AACGAACGCUGGCGGCAUGCCUAACACAUGCAAGUCGAACGAGACCGUCGGGUCUAGUGGCGCACGGGUGCGUAACGCGUGGGAACCUGCCCUUAGGUUCGGAAUAACUCCCCGAAAGGGGUGCUAAUACCGGAUAAUGUCUUCGGACCAAAGAUUUAUCGCCUUUGGAUGGGCCCGCGUUGGAUUAGCUAGUUGGUAGGGUAAAAGCCUACCAAGGCGACGAUCCAUAGCUGGUCUGAGAGGAUGCUCAGCCACACUGGGACUGAGACACGGCCCAGACUCCUACGGGAGGCAGCAGUGGGGAAUAUUGGGCACUGGGCGCAGAUCUGAUCCAGCAAUGCCGCGUGAGUGAUGAAGGCCUUAGGGUUGUAAAGCUCUUUUACCCGGGAUGAUAGUGACAGUACCGGGAGAAUAAGCUCCGGCUAACUCCGUG